UCCAGGCUCAUGAUGCUCUCCGUAUUGUAUUACUUUAUUAACUGCUUAGGAUUAUGACUGUAGUGUAGAGCCGAGCUGCCUGAAUCUGACCGGACCCAAGACCAGGAGACAGAUUUACUGAUACUGUAGCGGAAUCACAGUGUCUAAAAGACUGAAACCCUCCGGCGCCCAGUGAGGGAAAAGAAGGAAAGACGAAGAGGAAAAUUGUGAUGAAGACAGAGAUGUGCUUUUAACAUAUUUCACCACCAGCCCAGUGACACAGCAUCAGGUGCUCCUGUCCCUCUCCCUCAGCACAGCAGAGUGACACAGCAUCAGGCCUAAAGGCUGCACCAAUAGGCCCUGCUGACUGGCCAUCUAUUCUAACUGACAAAGUGAGAAUACGGACUUAAUAAGGAAAAGACUCAAGGACUGGAAAAAUGCAAGCCACUUGCUGAAGGUUCAUGAGGAUAGCUGGGAGCACAAUACCCGCAUGGCAACAUGAAAAGCGUUGGAGGUUGUUUUGCAAAG